CUGGGGCUUCCCGCCGAGUCGUGGGAAUGACUUCGGCGGAUCGCUAGUUAGCAUAGUUUAGGGUUAGAACUAGGGCGGUAUCUGAUCGCCUUCGAUCCUCUAACUUUCGUUCUUGAUUAAUGAAAACAUUCUCGGCAAAUGCUUUCGCAGUAGUUAGUCUUGCGACGGUCCAAGAAUUUCACCUCUAGCGUCGCAAUACUAAUGCCACCGUCUGUCCCUUUUAAUCAUUACCUCGGUUCAUUAAAACCGACAAAAAGAACAGAAUCGAGGUCCUGUUACUUCAUUCCAUGCACAGACAUUCCGGCCGUUUUU
rnacentral:rRNA from 1 species